GGAGUCUGGUCCGUGUCUCAGUACCAGUGUGGGGGACCUUCCUCUCAGGCCGGCUACCGAUCGUCGCCUUGGUGGGCCGUUGCCCCGCCAACUAGCUAAUCGGACGCAAGCUCAUCCCCUGUCGAUAAAUCUUUUGUCAACCCCGGAUGUCCAGGGCCACGAUAUCCGGUAUUACCCGCGCGUUGGCACGGCUAUUCCCGAACAGGGGGCAGAUUGCUUACGCGUUACUCACCCGUUCGCCGCUAUGCAUUGCUGCACCGCUCGACUUGCAUGUAUAAGACACGCCACCAGCGUUCGUU
rnacentral:rRNA from 1 species